rnacentral:tRNA from 1 species
UAGAAUGUAGUGUAAUGGUAGCACGGAGAAAUUUGAGUUCUUUAGAAUAGGUUCAAGUCCUGGGAUUCUAG